rnacentral:tRNA from 1 species
AAGCAUAGCUUAAACUAAAGCACCUAG